ACCAUGGUCAGUGGCUAGAGCCGCCGC
rnacentral:sRNA from 1 species